GACGAACGCUGGCGGCGUGCUUAACACAUGCAAGUCGAACGGAAAGGCCUGCUUUCCCUUGUGGAUUGCGGGUGCUCGAGUGGCGAACGGGUGAGUAACACGUGAGUGAUCUGCCCCCAACUUGGGUAUAAGCCUGGGAAACUGGGUCUAAUUCCCGAUAGGACUGCAGGGUGGUGCCGGUGGUGGAAAACGAUUUUCUAGUGGUUGGGGAUGAGCUCGCGGCCUGUCAGCUUGUUGGUGGGGUACUGGCCUACCAAGGCGGCGACGGGUAGCCGGCCUGAGAGGGUGGACGGCCACAUUGGGACUGGGAUACGGCCCAGACUCCUACGGGAGGCAGCAGUGGGGAAUAUUGCACAAUGGGCGGAAGCCUGAUGCAGCGACGCCGCGUGGGGGAUGACGGCCUUCGGGUUGUAAACUCCUUUCGACCGCGAGGAAGCCACCUGGUUGGAAGGGUGGUGACGGUAGUGGUAGAAGAAGCACCGGCUAACUACGUG
rnacentral:rRNA from 1 species